GCAGUAAGUUGUCUUAUCGCCCUUUGAGAACUCAGAGGGAGGAAAGUCCGGGCAACACAGAGCGUCGUACUUCCUAACGGGAAGGUCCUGUUUAGUCAGGAACAGAAAGUGCCGCAGAAAACAAACUACCUGCUUUGACUUGUUCGAAGGAGGAAAAGGUGAAAAGGUGAGGUAAGAGCUCACCGCCCUGGUAGUAAUAUCAGGGGCAUGGUAAACCUUACGAGUUGAAAGGUCAAAUAGGCUCCGGUUAAUGGAUUGCUCGUUCAGAUACUGCUUGCAGUAUACCGGAGCGGGUAGACUGAUUGAUCCUCGUUGCGAAACCAGGACCAGAUAAAUGAUAAGAGCUCUUCAUUAGAAGAGAAACAGAACCCGGCUUAUAAACUUACUUUUAUU
rnacentral:RNase_P_RNA from 1 species